UACGUAGGGGGCCAGCGUUGUCCGGACUUACUGGGCGUAAAGCGCGCGCAGGCGGACCUGUAUGUGCCGUGUGAAAGCGCCGGACUUACUUCGGCGAGGUCAUGGUAGACAGCAGGUCUGGAGCCUCGGAGAGGUCGGUGGAAUUCCGGGUGGAGCGGUGAAAUGCGUAGAUAUUGGGAGGAACACCAGUGGCGAAGGCGACUUUCUGGACUGUGUCUGACACUGAGGCGCGAAAGCUAGGGGAGCGAACGGG
rnacentral:rRNA from 1 species